ACUUCUUAACCCUGUAAGACUUAUCUCUCCAAACCAUGUUCUGUCCAUGCUAACACUUUAGACAAUGAGGAUGUCUCCACCCUGCGUGGGUCAGAUGUGACGCUGUCCUGGCACGUGCCUUUGUAAGGGCAGUCCCUCCCCAUCCAAAUAAGCUUAUUCCUGAGAAAGCCAACAACCUGUCAGGAAGAAGAAGGGAGGUGCUGCUCUGAAGGACACAGUCAACCUACGCAGUGUUUUCAGACGCGAGAGCCACCAUGAGAAUCACAGUUUCUCUUUUGCCCACUCUCCCUCUGUUUUAAAGCCAUAAGGAAUGUCCUUCAGAAUACAGAGAUGAUAGCCUGGCUCUGCUGUGUGCUUUCCAGGGCUGGCUGGAGGUGGUAAGAGAAAUGUUAACAGAAAUGUGGACUCUUUAAAGUUCCUGGAGAGGCAGAAAUUACCUUUGCUUUAAAUGUGAUUAUAAUUAAUAUCACAAUGGA